GGAAAAUUGAUCAAGGGUAAGAUAAAUUAUUUACUAAAUAAUAGGAUAAUAAUCCUGAUGAGUUCGAAUCUCAUAUUUUCCG
rnacentral:tRNA from 1 species